GGCCCAGUGGUCUAGUCGUAUGAUUGUCGCUUCGGGAAUUUCCCCAUCCUGGAAAACGGGAGAAUGUGACAGGUCCCGGGUUCAAAUCCCGGCUGGGCCC